rnacentral:rRNA from 1 species
CGGGUACAUGUUUACUGCCGUUGGGGCCUUUGAGGCUUUAGUGGCGCAGCUAACGCGAUAAGUAGACCGCCUGGGGAGUACGGUCGCAAGACUAAAACUCAAAUGAAUUGACGGGGGCCCGCACAAGCGGUGGAGCAUGUGGUUUAAUUCCAUGCCACGCGAAGAACCUUACCUGGUCUUGACAUACAGAGAACUUUCCAGAGAUGGAUUGGUGCCUUCGGGAACUCUGAUACAGGUGCUGCAUGGCUGUCGUCAGCUCGUGUCGUGAGAUGUUGGGUUAAGUCCCGCAACGAGCGCAACCCUUUUCCUUAUUUGCCAGCACUUCGGGUGGGAACUUUAAGGAUACUGCCAGUGACAAACUGGAGGAAGGCGGGGACGACGUCAAGUCAUCAUGGCCCUUACGACCAGGGCUACACACGUGCUACAAUGGUCGGUACAAAGGGUUGCUACCUCGCGAGAGGAUGCUAAUCUCAAAAAGCCGAUCGUAGUCCGGAUUGGAGUCUGCAACUCGACUCCAUGAAGUCGGAAUCCGCUAGUAAUCGCGGAUCAGAAUGCCGCGGUGAAUACGUUCCCGGGCCUUGUACACACCGCCCGUCACACCAUGGGAGUUUGUUGCCCCAGAAGUAGGUAGUCUAACCCUAAGGAGGACGCUUACCACGGUGUGGCCCAUGACUGGGGUGAAGUCCUAAC